GGAAAUCUUCGCCUUCUCUGAACCUUUGUACUGGUGAAUAACAUCUGAAUCGCUCAUUUGGUACCUUUGAUAUACUUAUAUAGAGGUUUUGUUUAAUGGUAAUCUUGUCAUCCCACAAAUAAUCCCCUUGAAUCCAGUGUGAUUCUCACACUUCACUGAGUCCCCCACAGCAAAAAACGUGAGACCAUUUCUGUAUAAAACUCUUGGGAAAUAUGUAUGACGGGGCAGGUCACGUCCUCAGUAACCUGUCUUGGCUUAUUGAUUUCAUCUUCAGUCACAG
rnacentral:lncRNA from 1 species